UGCCAGACUCCUACGGGAGGCAGCAGUGAGGAAUAUUGGUCAAUGGGCGCGAGCCUGAACCAGCCAAGUCGCGUGAGGGAAGACGGUCCUAUGGAUUGUAAACCUCUUUUGUCGGGGAGCAAAAGACGCCACGUGUGGCGUUCCGAGAGUACCCGAAGAAAAAGCAUCGGCUAACUCCGUGCCAGCAGCCGCGGUAAUACGUAGGGAGCAAGCGUUAUCCGGAUUUAUUGGGUGUAAAGGGUGCGUAGACGGGAAAACAAGUUAGUUGUGAAAUCCCGCGGCUUAACUGAGGAACUGCAACUAAAACUAUUUUUCUUGAGUGUUGGAGAGGAAAGUGGAAUUCCUAGUGUAGCGGUGAAAUGCGUAGAUAUUAGGAGGAACACCAGUGGCGAAGGCGACUUUCUGGACAAUAACUGACGUUGAGGCACGAAAGUGUGGGGAGCAAACAGGAUUAGAUACCCCGGUAA
rnacentral:rRNA from 1 species